rnacentral:lncRNA from 1 species
UCAAAACCCUGUCCUGGGGAGACAAUUGGGUAUGUCCAGGUGCAGUUGUUCAAUGUGAUUUAGUCCCUACCAGGAGGUCUGGUUGCCUGGGUUCAGAACAGCAGAGGAAAAAUUAGACAAAAGACACAUUCAGAAGUCAAGGUGCUCUGACAGUUCAGCAGACAUAUGACCUAACUUCAACCAGCAGACAGGAUCUGACCUAGGAAAGAUGAAGACAAAAACCAGAUCUCAAACAGAUGUAUUGUAGUUCAAGGUAGGGCAAUCAGACCUGUAGGAAGACUGAGCAGGCCACUGAAUUGGGCCCCCGAAAGAGAAGCCCAGACAUGAGGACUGGACCCACCCAGGAACUGGGAGUAAAGCAAUUUGGGGACAGUUGGGUCCUAGGCCUCGCCUCUAGGAAACCUGGAUUGCCCAGUCGGUGCUGAAGGUGUCUCAGAUCUGCUUGGAUCUAUAAUAUUGGACCUGGAUUUCAGGGGAAGUGUGUAUCUGGAAAUAAAAAUCAGAAAAUUUGGAGAAUAAAAGAACAAGGAAAAUUAAGGAAGGAUUUUUUUCAACCUUAAAAGCCACCUUGAGAAAUGAGAGAAGAGAGGAUUGGCUACUCGGUAUUGUGCUUUCUGCUGUCUACCUAGAAGACUUGAGGAAGAAGCCCCUUCACAUUCAUCAGUCACUUGAAUGACAUGAAAGACAGGAUGUUUCUUGCACUAACACCCGUGUGUUCAAAUGGAAAACCUCAUGUAACAGGAAGCCUCGCUAGCAAAAGACUAAUUUUCUGUGAAGUUCUGGCUAAACUAAGGAAAAGUCUGAUUAAGAAAGCACUUCUAAAGAAAU